rnacentral:rRNA from 1 species
UACGUAGGGACCGAGCGUUGUCCGGAAUCAUUGGGCGUAAAGAGCGUGUAGGUGGCCUUUUAAGUCCUGCGUGAAAUCCUGCGGCUCAACCGCAGACGGUCGUGGGAAACUGGAAGGCUAGAGUGCGGGAGAGGAGAGUGGAAUUCCCGGUGUAGCGGUGAAAUGCGCAGAUAUCGGGAGGAACACCGGUGGCGAAGGCGGUUCUCUGGGAAUGACCUGACGCUGAGGAGCGAAAGUGUGGGGGAGCGAACAGG